GAGUCAGGGGUACUAGUGGAGUAGCCCGUCUAGUACCCCUAGGUUCUGGUGUCCAACCAGAUAUAGUAUUAAGGGCUUUUG
rfam:Bat coronavirus HKT9-1, complete genome